UCCCGUGCCUUCUCUCCCGUGCUCUCCCCUCCCCCGAUCCCUUCCUUCCCUCCCGCCGCGCCGCCGGCUCCAUCCUCUUCUUCGCACGCGACGGCCGACGCUGCCUUCUCUCCCCGGCGCUUGAGGUGCAGCAGUGGGGGCGGCAGUUCUCGGUCCAGCCGAGUCGGGCGCAGGUCACCGGCAUCACGCGCCGCACACCAUGAUUCUGGAUUGGGCGCAGAUCUUCGCGCCGCCACCUCUCCUACUCCUUCUCGUCCUCCUCUCUCUCUCUCCCAUGCCGCCACCAUUGCAAGGAGCAGGGGAGGGUGGCGACCGAGGAUCCCGAGCCCCGGCCCCAGACCCUAGCUGUCGGGGAGCUGGUCUGGGCCAAGACCAAGGGCCGCCACCCGCGCGCCUCCACUCCCCCUCCCAGAAUCCCCCCUCGUCUCCUCUCCCCGCCACCACCGUCAACCCCUUCCUCGCCGCCCACGAUGCCGACGCCCUCACAAGGGCCAACACCGGCCUUGCCUUCGUUCCCCACAAGUUCCUUGACGCCCUCGGCAGCGUGGCCAUCGACGAACCCGCCGUCAGGCUGCUGGACCGCGCCCGGCUUGAGAGCUGGGUCCGGGCGCUCGCCCAGGGAUGGGGCCCCAACCGUCCCGGCCGCUACCGGCGCCACACCAAAGGUGAGCUCAUCGACAAGAUUGACAUUGACAUGCUGGCCGACGAUGGUGCAGCUUCGGAAGAGGAGGAUGAGAAGAAAGAGAGGGUGAGAAGAGUCUAAUUCUGGUCAAGAGCCCCACCUCCCUUUGAUUUGUGUUGGUAUAUGUGUUUGCUGUUGGUUCUGCUGCUGCCAAGCUUGGCUGCUGCUUGGCCUGACUCUACUUGUGUUGCUAAUAUGUGCUACUAUAUGUUGUUGGUUGCCUCCUUAUUUGGUUAUUUGUGAAUCUAGAAACACUGUGUGAGAAGCAAGGAUUGAAAAGAAGGCUAUGAGCCAAUGAGAAGAGCUUCAUUUUCAGUUCAGUUUUUUGUAAGAAUUGAUGAAUGACAUGGUAUAUGUUCAGUUGCUAACAUUCUCUCUAUGGUGUAUGCACUUGUCGUUCCUUGCACUAGAGGGAGAGGAAAACUCUCUGUGAGAAGAAAGGAUUGAACAGAAGGCUUAUGAGCCAUUGAGAAAAACUAUACUUUUAGUUUUUUAUUAAGAAUUGAUGAAGGAUAUGUCAUAUGUUCAGUUCCUUACAUUUUUCUAUGGUGUAUGUACACUGCAUUCGAGGGAGAGGACGGCAAGAGUAAGAAAGCCUUGCGGCAUGAAGGCAGUAGCACGCAGGGCCAAAUCAAGUGCAUUGACCUCAAUGGCAAGAGACCAGUACCGUCAGGUUCGCUUGACUGCUUGCUAGGUUUCAUGCCUUAUUCCUUUUCAUAUAGGAAAUAUAAAGUGCACAUAUAGAAGAGCCCAUAUUGGGCAUCCUUUUCUUUUUAGUUUUUGGAAUCCUUGGAAAGGGUGUUAUAUAUUUUCAUAAUUCUUACCACUUAUUUAUCUUUUUUAGCAGCAUAGAUUUAAAUGUAGUAACAAGUGUUUAUGCUUUGCAGCCCGGCAUCAAACAAUACCCUUAACAAAGCUACACAAUGGAUGCUAUUUGUCAUAUUUUGACCUAUGAAUCUGUUUGAAUAGAUUAUACAGGAUUGAUGUGGUUAUCAGAUGAUUGCAGUCUACCCUAGGAUUUGCAGAGAUCAAUGAGGAUUCGGGCGGCAUGAAGGGGACUGGUGAUAGGAAACAUGGAUCCAAGAAGAAAUCAAACAACAUGGUGAGUUGUUCUCCCUUUUCAAAUUUGAAACCUAGACUAGAGUCGGUCAAUUGUAAUUUAGUAACAUGAUUAGGAUAGUAUAAUAUUUUGCUACUACCUUGCUGAUAGUUUUGCAGGGUAAUUCUGUCGGCUAUAUAUGUGUUUAUUUUUUAUUGUAGUGAGAUCACUUAUUUUUAUUUAGAAAAUAGAAACCUGAAGUGUGGCUAUAAGAAUCUAAUAGCAGAUGUUCUUCGCAUGAACAAGCUGUGUAAUGUACCUACUGACUAAUAGCAUAAUCAUGACUUGGCUUGCCCGGUUUUACUCUGCGAAGAGUAGUAUGUGGUGCUCUAAUAUUCAACUGUGUUCUUGAAUUGGGAAUUAUGUUUUUAUAAAGUGCUUGUGUGUUGGUCUGAUGUAUAUAAGUUAAAGAAAAUAAAAAACAGAUGGAGGAAGGGAACUUCUUGCUUUUCUUUUCCUUUUGUUUCUCUGUUUGAUAAUUACUCCCUACGAUGAGAAGGUUUACGAAUAGAAAUGUCCUACUCUUUGAUCCCUUUUAGUGUGAGCGGCUCGACGGCAAGCAUGACCGUCUGCUCCAUGCUUUAUUGGUUGUGUCUUUGGCUCCGUGUGCGUUGCGCCACAUACGUGUUUGUUGCUUGCGUGCUGCUGCUGUGUGUAUGGUGUGUUGGCUUGAUGUGUGUGUGGGCGCGCGCACGCACUAGCUAGGUGAGGAUCACUGGCUCACUGCUCUCUCUAUGUACUCCCUCCAUUCCAAAAUAGAUGACUCAACUUUGUACUAACUUUAAUACAAAGUUGAGUUAUCUAUUUUGGAACGGAGGGAGUAGCUUCUUAGGAGGAAAAAUACUUUGCCGCUGGUCUGCAUCAUGCUUCUAGCAUCUUUCCAGGCAGGUAGAUGUUUCCAAGAUCAAGAGAGAAAAGGUCCUUGCAUGCAUAUACUUUUAGAUGACACAUGACCAGAAGUCUUUCCUAUUAAAAUCAUGUGGCCUUGUGACACCCCGACCCUUUUCUUCAGAAAUUUGUAAUGUGUUUACGCAUGUCUGUUGUGAUGUGCAUAGGAGCAUGAUUUGUUCUGGCACUUUAGGCAUUAGCACACCUAUAAUACAGGUGGCGCGCGUGUGUGUUUGAAGUGUCAGUGCUUGUGUGUAGGAAGUCUAAUAGGGUGGGUUUCGAUUUCUUUUGACUUUCUGAUCAGCCCAAUUGGCCUGGGCUGCGUGUAAGCUUUGUCCUGACGAGGAAGCUGACUGUGCAUCAUCAGUUUAACACCAUCAGCUGGAUCUUUGAAGCCAUCCAACGCUCAACUUUAGUGACUGGUGUAGCGACCCAGGAUUUUAUCCUAAACUGCUAUUAAACUCACAAGAGGGAGCAUUUUAAUAACAAAAGAACUCUACCAUGCUUUCUGAUAUAUACUCCUGCGUAUAUAUAUGUUGUACUAGAAGUUCCUAUGUUUUAACUAUUGCGUACCAGAAAAUUGAAUUGGCAAUGUCUGCAUAGAUAUGAUGUAUUAAAUUAUGUUUUGAAAGGGAUUUGUUCAUUUUCAAAACUAAGGAAGUUGGGUGAGCUUAAAACACCCAUUCCUUAGUUCAGUGAACUUUUCUAAUUGUAUUUUAAAUCCACAAGAGGGCAAAAUCAUUGCUCUUUCCCAGAUCAUCUAAAUCAGAUGGGUGGGCUCCAAACUCCCAGUGCCAUUUGUCGUUUUUGUGUUUUGAUUUUUACUUGAGUGCCUUUGGACCGAUGGUACUAUGGAGAGGUGACAUUAACACCAUUGCUGGUUGCUUCUCUCCUGUAGACUACAUCUCCUUCUAUAUGUCAAUAUAUCAACAAAACAAGAGAUCUAUAAUAUCAUUGUUUAUGGAGUUCACAGAUUAUUGAAUAUUUUUGCUGCCAUGGAAUUGUGAGUUUGUGACUAUACAUUCUUGUGUCCUACAUGUGAAUUGAAGAUAUAUUGUCUAUGUGAAUGUAAAUAUCCAGGUAUGUAGGCAAGUCCUAACUUUUAUGCACAUAUUUACCUAUGAAAUGCAUGCAAGCAAA